CGGAACCGGAAGAGGGGUCACGGAGAAGCGCGAGGAAAAGACGGAGAGGAGAGUGAGUGACAGCAUGGCCGCGGAAACAUUACAGCAAAGAAAAGACUUUGAGGAGUUAAAACACGCUGGUUGAGGAACGUAUGUCGAGACAAACGGACAGUGAGUCUCAGAGUGACUGUUCAGUGAACGCAGCACCGUGUUUGAGUUUACAUGAAGAGAAAAAGAGUGAAAAGAGAGAAGUGCAGCUAGAAGCUAAUGUAGCUCACGUGAGCUUACCUGGCGGCCUUCACGACGAGCAGCUCGCGGAGGUGAAGCCUGUUAGUCUGCUGUGUAACCGGUCUGCAUGAGAGGAUCUGCGGUGAGUGUUUACCACGGACGCUACCGGGAGAACGGACGGGGGGAACCGUCUAAGGCCCAGGCUGCAUUAACACGCUGUGCCGCAGAAAGGUCAAGGACGAGGACGCCAUUAUGCCGUGAGUCUGACAUUGUUUCUUUUCUGGCUCCUACGAAACGCGAGCGUCGAACCAGGCCCGCAUCACUCCACUGACACACUGGGUACCCAUUCCAUCUUAUUUUAUUUUCAUGUAGUGAAUAAAAGUGCUGGCUAUAGGUGGAAUAUUUUGGUUGUUGUGCUUUUGAAAUGUGGGUGCAUAUUGGAAAAAAAAAGAAAGAAAAAAAAGAAACUGGUUCUUUGUUAAUUGAUUGGUGUAGUGAGUUAAAGGGACAAAUAAGUCUAAGAUUUGCACUUGAAUAGUUGUGUUUUUUUCUCCCAUUAUUGAAAUAUUUGAUUGUGUGUUCAAUAUUAACAAAAGUAAAUCGUUAAAACUUACCUGUGUCUGUUCUUCUUUCCCAUGGUGUCUUAUAAAUAGUGUUGUUUAUGUUCAUGUAGUCAUUGUAGAGAGUGCUUGUGUUUGAGGUGUGAGUGCUUUAGAGAGAGGCUAAAAGGAACUUAAUGGGUAACUAUAGAAAAAGAAGUAACUUCAUUAGUAUUUCAUUUAUGUAUAGUAGUGAUUAAAAAAAAACCCUAAAAACGGAGUUUGUUAAAUAAAAAGUAGUUUUAAUAAUAGAGUUCACACACAACAGUUGAUAAACAGUGUAUUGCAGCAGACCUACCUGCUGCCAUUAGUAACCCAUAAAGAAAGUGAUUUCUUGCAUCUCAGUAAAAUAGACCUGACGUCUAGGGGGCGCUACAGCCCUGUCUGAACACUAUCUUAUGUUUUGUUGCAGCUGCAUGGACCUUGUAAUUACACCUUCUCCCUCUGGUAAACACACACUUCUUCUAAACUCUUCCAGGGUUUGACACUGUCAUGAAUUAGUUGUUUGCUGUUGUGUUGAUGACCCUGAUGACUUUACAGUGACACCAUCACAACCAAGCUCUUUUUGGAAGAGAUGAUAUCACACAACAGUUCACAACAGCCUUCUCACACUUAUCAUCUGUACAUCUCAUCUUCCGUACCGCUUAAUUUUUGUGGCCAGAAGCCACCUGUAGCAGAUCAACUGCUCAUUACUGGUUUAUUUAUUGAAGGCGUUCCUGCUGACAGAGACUGAGACGACCUGAAAGUAACUGAACAUCUGAAUGAAAUCUAGCUAGGACUCAUCUAUCUGCUGAAGCUCGAAGAGGAAACGAUCUGUGGAGAGGAAAUGAAACUGAAGUUGAUCUAGUGGCUCUUCCUCUUUUUUCCACCGUCUACCGCUGUGGGAAUCACCGAGAUUAACUCAAAGGGCUGGACUUGUUGACUAGUUCUACACGUCCAGUUGCCUUUAUUCCACGCCUUUAGGGUUACCAUGACCUGGAUGACUGAGAACCUCCACAGAAACACAGAGCACACACAACCCAGGAGAGGUCACUUCAGCACCGGACAGCUCCUCUGACCCCUCUCUACAAUGAGAGGUCACUUUAGCUCUGGACACAUUAUGUUCCUCUGCCUCGGCAUGAGGCUUUAAUUGAACAUGUUCCCUCUCAUGGUACAGCUUCAUCAUGUCGACAUGACAGAGACGAGAUCUGGAGUGGAUGAGAUCUCUAUCACCAACAUUUAUUUUGCACAAGAUGAGGUCCAGUAUGUGGAGCUUCCAAGCUACAUUCACGGAUCCGAAGCAACACUAAAACCUUGCCACCAGGUGAAAAUGAAAACUUUUGUCAUGCUUGUUAAACUAACCUUUCAUCCCUGACCUGCACGGCAUCAAGAUCAGCAAUCCCCACUGUGUCAAACUAACACACAAACUUUUACAGGUUUGAAUCAUGUUCGUGUCCUCCUACGUUUUGUUGGAGCUGUUUUGAAUCCCAAAUGGGUCAUUUGUGGGAUUCCUGUAAUGGUGGCAGCGCUGCUCUUCUGUCCAGUAAUACACACCUGAAGCUUCACUGUUCAUUAAAACGAACUAACGCGACUGACACAGUUGUUAGAUUCCAUCAAUGAGAUUCACAUUACUCUCCUGAAAAGAGUUUAACCAGCCAGCGGUAAACCUCUAAAAUCUUGCGGAUGAAGUUACUUGGCUCGUUAUCUCCAGUGGGAUGAUGACGGAGUCGGUCCCGGGCGAUCAGUUCAUUAGACCGGCUGCUGCCUCUGAGACGCGCCGGUACCAUGGAUAACCAGCCCCCGGUCGCUGCUCUUUGUGCACUUCUCCCAAAACAAACGUCGGAGCAAAUUUCCAACAGGUGAUAUCUGGAUAAACUGACCACAGACUGGGGAUUUAACAGUGACUUUCUCACGAUAAAAAAAUAUUAAAACUUUUAUCAGCUAGAGGACUUU